AACCGUUAAGCCAAACCGUUAGAGUAAAAAGCCGCCCAAUCCGCCCAAUGAACACCCCUACCCCUGGCCCCUUUGCUAAAAUAUAUCUUACGUCACAUUUUUGAGCAUUUGUUCAAUUCUUAAAAUCACUGGAUCCCUUACUGCAAUAUCCUUAUUUGUCGCAUUCAAUUGUAAGUAAGAUAUAUGGACUUAUAUCUACAUACAUAUGAACAAUAUAUGGAUAAAUUAUAUG
rnacentral:lncRNA from 1 species